rnacentral:rRNA from 1 species
AUUGAACGCUGGCGGCAGGCCUAACACAUGCAAGUCGAACGAGUGGCGGACGGGUGAGUAAUGUCUGGGAAACUGCCUGAUGGAGGGGGAUAACUACUGGAAACGGUAGCUAAUACCGCAUACCAUCAGAUGUGCCCAGAUGGGAUUAGCUUGUUGGUGGGGUAACGGCUCACCAAGGCGACGAUCCCUAGCUGGUCUGAGAGGAUGACAAGCAAAACUGGAACUGAGAAACGGUCCAGACUCCUACGGGAGGAAGCAGGGGGGAAGAUUGCACAAUGGGCGAAAGCGUGAUGCAGCCAUGCCGCGUGGAGGAAGAAGGCCGUCGGGGUGUAAAGUACUUUCAGCGGGGAGGCGUUACCCGCAGAAGAAGCACCGGCUAACUCCGUGCCAGCAGCCGCGGUAAUUC